CCAUAGUUAACUAAAGGAUCACAGACCAAAGUCUGUCAACAUCCCUAGGGAAUCUGGGCAAUGAAUGCGAAACAAACUACUUUGGCACCUCAGUGAUUCUGAUAACUGCGGCCAGCCAGGGUAUGGAGGGUUGGUGUGUCAUUCUCUAAUUUGAAUUUUCAGGAUCUGUUUCCUGCCACUUGGCCCGCUUGCUGGCUGUUCUUAUCUGUAAUGCUGGGCUACAGGAUGGAUCCCUGGAACGAAAGCCUGGUGAAAAUGACUGGGCAAUUCUUAGGAUGAGACAGAAGGAUACAUUUAUAAUACUUCAGGUUGCUGAGCAGCUUCUGUACCAUUAAAGACAGUUUUUGCAGUGGGACAGGUAGGAUUACAGUGACACAUUACAUAACCACCUUCUGAGGGAGGGCAGGUACAUUUCAGUGGCAGAAAAAGACAAUCACUCUGUUCUACCAUGAUUAACUGCUAUUAAUGAUUUAAAUGUUGCCUUAUCAUAUUACAUCAUGUAUUUCUGCUUACAUCCAGUGACCUACAUAAGGAAAGCCUUAAGUACUAGGCUUUUGGUCAAAAUAAUCUUUUCUUAAAAAAAAGCAUACAUGCUCAAAUUCCAACUAAAUUCUUUCACUGAGAUCUAUUAGAAUAUUUCUUUUUGAGGCUUUCAAGUAUUUUAGAAUAAUAGACAUAAACAUUAAUCUUAGCAGCAUGUUGGUAAUGGUGGCAGGCUAAGCAUUUUGUCUCUAUUCAGUUCAGUUCUUGAGUUCCUACUGGAGCAGAGCACAGUACUAGGCGCUAGGGAGGAAAAAGAAUGCUCUUGCCUUUUCACUGUUUAAUGGAGGAUUAAACAAUUACACGUGUAUACUGCAAACUGAAUAUUUAAUGUAUCAGAAGCAGUACAAAAUGCGACAGAGGCUGAGCAGACAGAGGGAGCGUUUUUGUGUGGUUGUGGGGUGUGGAGGGGUGUUAAGGGGGAGGAUGGUGAUUCGACAGGUGUGGCUGAGGGAAGGGACAUCUGUUCUGGAGUCGGGGAAGCCGAUGUUUUGGGUCCGUGUGAAGUCACUGCAGAACAACUCCCAUGAGGCUGGUCUCGAAACACUUCUUCUCAUUUCCAUCCAGAGGCUAUCUCCUGACUCCCACAGACAUCCUGUCUUAGAGGUAAUGGUCAUAUCUCAGAGCUCACUGUGUGUGAAAUGACGGAGAGGCAGCCACCAGGGCUGAGCUUCAAGAUGGGUUCAUUUCCUUCAUUCUCUUCGUUCUCUGGGGAAGGACUGGAUGUGUCAGUUGGUAGCUUACAGAAGCCCACUUUGGCUCUUUCAACCUACCAAUGCUGCACAUCUGCUGGAGUUAAAAAGGCACUGAGCGGCACAUUUCUGCCUUUGAAGCAAGUCUCAGUGGGGCUCAGAGGCCGAAAAGCACCUGAUUGCCGGACACCGUGUCAAGAAAGAUGGUUAAACUUUUACUGAGUUGAGAUGGGAGCAAGAGAUAAUGAAUUUCAAGAUCAGUUUUUCUGUUAUUGAAGGAGCUGGAAUCAAUUUUCUUUGCAAUGAUGAGUACUAAUACAUAUGGAAAAAACAUUGUGUUAGAGUGGAAGUUGGCAUGGUCAGAUGGACAUGGUCUGUUAAAAGCUAGUAUGAGCGUUUGUGUGGACAAGAACCCAGAAAAUGAAACAGAUAAACAAGUCGCUAAAGGAAGCAAGAGCUUCAAUGGCCACUUGAGAAAUUAGAUACAACUCAGAUUAUAAUUUACAAUGCUGUCUACGCAUCUGGCUCUCUAGGCAGUGUUCCUUGUGCAAUUACAUCAUCACUAAAGUUAUAUGAUCACCUGAGGGAAAACCUAAAAAUAUCAGUUUCUUGUCACAUGGGCCUCUGAGCAGAGCUGCUCACAACAUGGCAGCUUACUUCCCCCAAGUGAGAAAUCCAAGUGAAAGCAAGUGAAAGAUGACUCCCCCAAGGCCGAAGCCGUGGUCUUUUUUUAACCUAAUCUUGGAAGUGACAUCUUAUUACUUCUACCGCAUUCUGUUUGUCAGAAGCAAGUCACUAAAUCCAGUCCACAUUCAAGGGGAGGGAAUCGCACAAGUCACGAUAGCAUGAAGCAGAGAUCAUUGGAAAUCAUCUUUGGCAUUGCCUAAUUUAUACACUCUUAUAAAAAGACCAAUGCUUCUGUAGCCAUGCAAACAAAUAACCACCAUACCAAUUUUAAACCCAUUUAAUAGAUGAACUACAACUUGCCUCAUUAAACCUGCUUUUGCAAGCCCAACCUAUGCGUAUUAUUAACAUCUCACUUUUGUAAAUCAGUCAAUCUGGAAUAAAUUCACUCCAGUUAGCACACCUCUGAGCAACAGUCUCAUUCAAGUAACCGUGAUUAAACAGAUGAUGACCAUGAAAAUCCACCCAUCUUUGAACUUCACUGAUUUCCCCAAACUCUCUGUAAGAUCAGUAGUCUGCUCUGCUUGGAGAGACUGUUCCUGAUCAACAUAGCUCUUCCCUACUAUGUCAGCAAUAAAUUCAGUUUUAUGUUUUGGUUUGUUUGAGGUAUUGAGUGCAGGUCUACCACCCUCUGACAAUCCAAUACAUACUGUUUUAAGCUUACUACUAAGUUUGGGUAGUAAGUUGUUAGGAAGUAAAAGCUAACUCAUACACUCUGGCAAAUAACAGGUCCAUCACAAGUCAUUCCAGUUUUCAUCCUAAAAAGAGUAGGAUCCUGGCUCAUUUGACAUGGAAGUUGGCGAGUAUAGAUUGCAAGUCACUAAUGGAAAUGAUGGCUGUAAGAGCAGUGUCGACGUAAUCACUGUCAUGAAUUCAGCUUAAUUUGUGAUUUAAUACAUUUUAUUUUCUCACUCCUGUUACAGCCCAGAAUUACAGAUGUCUUCAGUGUUUCUGGAGGAGUCCUUUCAAUUUGGCUUUGAAAUGCAUUCAGGGAUUUGAUCUUUUCUCUUAAAAUACUAAAGAUGUUAGUGUUGGUCUUGUGAAGGCACAUGCUCUCACACAACUGCAGAGUGAUUUCUGAGAAGUCGGUAUCUGGAAGGCAUGUUUUAAAAGCUCUGAUUUAUUUUUAUGGUGAAAGAAAGAGGAAUUAUUAAGAAAUUCUUGGAAGUGGGAUAUGAGUAGGAUUUUUUCCUCCAACAUUUAUAGGCUUUCAUUUGAAGCUCCCUUAAUGCAACACUGGUCAAAACAUGGUCCAUGGUAUCUUGUGCUGAUUUUCCUGAAGAACGGCACAUUUUAAAAAUUCUGAGGUUUGUUACAACCAGAUGAUCAGCAAACCCUACGAAGGAGGAAUAUGGCAAGAAAUAGUCUAAGAAAUAAAACUGAUAUUCCCAAAACCAAUUGUAUUCAAUACUCAUUUAACAUCUUAGUGUAUGAAAAGGACUGGGUUUAGGGGUUGGAAUUGGAGAUAAAACCAGGAAGGUUGAACCUUAAAUGCCGUAAUAAAGAACCCUAAGUAUAUUUUUAAAGAGCACAGGGAGCUUUUGAAAUGGUUUAAAUACAGCAAUGACAUAAUUAGAUCUGUGUUUUAGGAAUAUCAAUCUGGUAUAUGUGUAGAAUGUGUAGGAUGAAUAGCAUUGGGGAGAAAAUGGAGGGAAGUAAACCAGUCGGGAAACCAUCAUGGUACUCCAGGUCGUGAGUUCAUAUUGCUGUUCUACCACUUAACAAAUAUGUAACCUUAGAAGCCACCUAACAUUUGCACUUCAGUCUCUCCAUCAGCGAAACUGGGUGAGAUUGAUCUAUAUGAUCCCUAAGAUCCUUUAUAGAACCUAGAAAAGCAACACAAAACUCUUUAAUUCUCUGGGGUUCUAGGAAGCAAAAUGAAAGCAAUGUAAGAAUUUGGGUCAUUGAAAGAGCAAAAACAGCCUUGAUAAGUGUGGGUCAAGGAUAAACUUCCUUUAUUACUUUAACCCUCACCCAACGCAGAAAUAUUGCCUACGUACUGGUUGGCAGAUGGCCCCCGGGAUCUGCUUCGGUACCUCCAGUGAUAGAGGACUCUGAAGGGUACCAUUUCAUCCAUUGCUGGGCAGCCCUAAUUGUGUUUUCAUUUGCUUUUAUAUUGAGGUGAAAUUUGCUCAUUACUAUUAGGUCUGGAAUUACACUGAAUAAGUCCCUUUUCUUUCUUCUGUGUGACCAUUAAACUUGAGCCUAGUCCAUCCCAGCUAAACAUUCUGAAGUAUUUUUAACUGUUUUCUGAGGGUGUGGUUUGGGACCCUUCACCAUCUUGAAUAUCCGGGGUGACAUGGGUGUAGUUUCCAUGAUCAUCAGAAUGCUGCAGUGACAGCCCCUGGGUCCUCCACAACCCCCCAUUGCUGUUGGAGCGAGAGCAGAGCUCAGACUCUCCCUCCCCAAUCAAAACUUGUGGUUCUCCAGUGUGCAACUCCAGGGAUGAUGCUUGUGCAAUGAUCCAGGACGUCUCUGUGGAUUGGUAACAAGUGGGCUGGGACUGAAGGUCCCUCUUUUCCAGUGGGAGGGGCUGCACCUGAACCCAACUUGUCAAGGACAUGGUGGCCUCUGGACUGGUAGCUUCUUUCCCACAGCAGGAGCAGCUGUGAAUUCCCAUGGGCCCUGGGCGGGUACCAUUUCUCAGUUCUCCUGCAAUCAGCAAGCACUUAAGUUCAGUCAGCUCAGCACCUGAGUCCAAAAGAGUUUGUCCCCCCACCGACUUUUAAGUCCACUUUCAAGACUGUACAAUAAGAAGGACAGGGCUCUCCAAAUGUCCUUGGGUUUCAUGUUUCCCCAGUACCUUUAUGCCUAGUCUGAAGGUAUGGUAUUCACCCUCAUCCACUUCACCGUAGAGUUAUAGUACACACACACGGUUCCCCUCCUAAUUUCUUUUUGCUGAGAGAUUAGGUCCCAGGUUUAGCACUGGAUAUAAUUUCUCUCCUCCACACCACGUGUGGAUUGAAGUUUUCACUUAAUGGGUUUUCUGAAAGCAAAAGAUUUAAUCCCAACCACCUGUCUCUUACUCAGAGGCGAUCCAUGCCCUUAACCCAAAGGACACAGACAUAUCCCACAAAUAUAUGAACCAGCUAGAGAUAAGGUCUGGGGGAAGUAGGCUCGGGGCCCCAGAACAUCCCUCUGUGGGUGGCCCCUCGAUACAUCCAGCCUCUGGAGAGCAGCCAUGAAGGGAACAGGAACUGGAGCUUGCCUGGGCAGGUCUCUAAUCUCUGAAUAGUCGUUUCAGAGGGCUCCGGUAGUUUCUUCGUGAAAGUGAGGAUUUUAGUUCCUGAAAAUCUGAACUAUUAUAUUAUUAUUCAAGCUGAUCUCUGGCCACUUAGUCAUCAUUCUGUCUAGCAUGAUACCGAGGCAGGAAAAAAGUGGGCUUCAGGCUGGACACUUACAACUAGCCUCCUGUUUGCAUUUCCUGAGACAGGAGAUAGGUGGGCUCCAGGUUAGGCACUUACAGUCAGCCUCCUGUUUGCUCUCUGAAAUGGAAGUAACAACAGAAACAUGGUAAAUAACCAGGCUUUGUCUCCUGUGUACACCUUAAGAUAACAGUCAUGGCAGGAACAGAGGGGGCCUAACCCUUGUUUGAAUAAAGGAUCAAGACAUCAUAUAUUUCCCAACCUUCGGGAAAGGGAGACAUUGCACAUGUGCAGAAAGUCUUCUUGGGGGUCAAAAAAGAGGGGGCACCACCCCAAAAUAUAUGAUGCUAAGGCUGCCCCAUAGGCCUCUGGGCUGGAAUCCAUCUUGGAAAAAUGUUGCGCACGCAUGUUGGGGAGGGUCCUAGGGCAGGUCAGGUGUGGAAAAAGAAACCAGAUAAUUGGCCAGAGGUAAACAAAGACCCAGAAGAACUGCCCUGUAUAAGUGACUUAACGGCCUCUUUACUGCACUUCUCCUCAUUAGGGAGGAUGCCCACACCCUUUCAUUCCGGGUGGGCGUCUCUGCCUUGUUUCUAUCUUAACUAAGCAAACUGAUUCUCUGUGUGC